CAGACCAGGUCUUUGAAAUCCAAUGUGUACUUCCCACAGCACAUCUCGGUUCAGACCAGCCACAUUUUAAGUAUUCAACAGUCACAUGUGACCAGAGGCUACUGCUUGGGUGGAGCAAGGCUGGAAGGCAACAGAGGAUAUACUGCAAGCUGAGAGACACCAGCUAUAAGCCAUCUGAUUGAAUGAUAAGAAGCUAGAAAGGGGAGAGGUGUGAUUGUCUUCCUGGAUCUGCCACAUGUGUUGUGGGAAUGAGCUCCUGGGCUUAGCCAAGUGCAACUCUUGGCUCAUGCCCCUGCUCUCUCAGAGGCAAGGCAGAAGCAGCUGAUGAAGUGGUCACAGUCCCCUAAGAGGAGGCCAGUGGGUGGAAUUCCCAACAACUCCAGCUCUGAGGUUUGGAAGACAAACGACUUGGGUUUCGGUCGAAUGGGAGUGUCAAGUUAUUCCAGCCUGAUGAGAUUACAGCUCAGAGGAUCACGAGGAAUUGAUUCUUCCAGAAGAGGAAAACCAGCUGGCACAGGAGCUCCGCAGGGCCUUCUGCUAAAGAAAUUGUCUGUCAACUCCUAUUCUGGGGAAUUAAAGAGAACAAGAGGCUGGUUCUCUGCAUAUUUUCACAACCUAGAGAGGACAAGGGAAAGGAUCACGAAUGCAAACAUAAUUCAGUGUGGUUCCAUCUAAUACAGCUAGAAUGAUUGCAACUGACUGGUUUGUUGAGACUGGAAUCUGAACUCCAUCUAAGAGUUAACACUAGGCAAUUCCAAACUUACCAGGACCCCAAGCAUAUCAAGACACCAGAUGACUUGG